GACGAACGCUGGCGGCGUGCUUAACACAUGCAAGUCGAGCGGGAAGCUUCGGUUUCCAGCGGCGGACGGGUGAGUAACACGUGGGCAACCUGCCUCACAAUGAGGGAUAGCCCUCCGAAAGGAGGAUUAAUACCUCAUAACACAAGAGAAACGCAUGUUUCUUUUGCCAAAGAAUUUCGUUGUGAGAUGGGCCCGCGGCGCAUUAGCUUGUUGGUGAGGUAACGGCUCACCAAGGCUGCGAUGCGUAGCCGACCUGAGAGGGUGAUCGGCCACAUUGGAACUGAGACACGGUCCAGACUCCUACGGGAGGCAGCAGUGGGGAAUAUUGCACAAUGGAGGAAACUCUGAUGCAGCAACGCCGCGUGAGUGAUGAAGGUCUUCGGAUUGUAAAGCUCUGUCUUCUGGGACGAUAAUGACGGUACCAGAGGAGGAAGCCACGGCUAACUACGUGCCAGCCGCCGCGGUAA
rnacentral:rRNA from 1 species